rnacentral:rRNA from 1 species
UACAGAGGGUGCAAGCGUUGCUCGGAUUUACUGGGCGUAAAGCGUGCGUAGACGGUUGCAUAAGUCAGAUGUGAAAGCCCCGGGCUCAACCUGGGAAUUGCAUUUGAGACUGUGUAGCUAGGGUGCGGAAGAGGGAAGCGGAAUUUCCGGUGUAGCGGUGAAAUGCGUAGAUAUCGGAAGGAACACCAGUGGCGAAAGCGGCUUCCUGGUCCAGCACCGACGUUCAGGCACGAAAGCGUGGGGAGCAAACAGGG